CCACCCGGAUCCAGAAUGAAGGCCCAACGGGCCGGGCCGGGCCGUGCCCAGAUAUUUAAGUGUCCCCCCCCCCCACGGCUUUUGCUUUUUUCGGGGGCUUUGCCAAGGGCAGCACGGGUGCCCCUUCUUUCAAGCUGUGGCCGGGCUUCGUAUUGCGCCCCACCUGGCCUGUCGUGGGCUCACCCGCAUUCCGCAGCGCCCCCUGCACGAGGCCUGGGGCGUGUGUGUUGGCUAUUAUGGUUCGCACUGCCUCCCCUUGCUCAAUUCGCCCGCUUGUUCCAUUGCCUCUUCCUUGUCUGCUCGCCUCGAGCGCCUCCUCUCGCCUGCCAAUCGUUCGCCUCCACUCCACCGAUUGCCCCCCUCGCCUCUCUCUUUGACAUCUUCGGCUUGGCUUCAAGGGAGGAGGGAAGGGUCGGUCACAGGGGCGUUAUAAUUAUGACUGGAACAGGGAAGUUCUUUGUCGGCGGGAACUGGAAGUGCAAUGGCACCACUGAGUCGAUCAAGAAGCUCGUGGGUGAGUUGAAUGACGGGAAAUUUGAGGAAAGUGUGGAAGUUGUGGUGGCCCCUCCUUUCCUGUACAUUGGUCAGGUUAUCGGGUCCUUGACAGACCGCAUUGCGGUCUCGGCUCAGAACUCUUGGGUCGGUAAGGGAGGAGCUUUCACUGGUGAAAUCAGUGCUGACCAGUUGGUCGACGCUGGCGUGAAGUGGGUUAUCCAAGGUCACUCUGAGCGUAGGCACGUCAUCGGCGAAUCCAAUGAGACCAUUGGAAAGAAAAGCGCCUACGCAUUGUCGAAGGGUCUGGGCGUAAUUGCGUGCGUCGGGGAGAAGCUCGAGGAGCGCGAAUCCAACCGCACCACCGACGUUGUCUUCGAGCAGCUGCAAGCAUACGCGGAUGCGAUUUCCGACUGGUCCAAUGUUGUCAUUGCUUACGAACCAGUGUGGGCUAUUGGUACCGGCAAGGUUGCCUCUCCAGAGCAGGCGCAGGAGGUGCAUGCUGCCAUUCGCUCGUGGUUGGGUGAUAAGAUUUCACCUGACCUUGCCUCAGCCACUCGCAUCAUUUAUGGUGGUUCCGUGAACGGAGCUAACUGUGCCGAGCUAGCCAAGAAGGAGGACAUCGACGGUUUCCUAGUCGGAGGAGCUUCGUUGAAGGGUCCUGAGUUCGUCACAAUCUGUAAUGCAGUCAUAUCGAAGAAGGCUUCAGCAUAAUCUCACUCAGAGACUGUUGCUUCAGCCUAAUGUCUCAAAUUAAAUACUCGUAUUUGCACUGUUCAAUGCCGUCAAAAGGAUCUGCUUAUGUGCCAUUCAGAUCAGUGGGUGAAGAUUCUGGAUUAUCUAAAUAUGAGAGUAACGACAACGUUGCAGCCACCUACAUGUAAGCCCUUGCUGACUGUUUUCCAAUUGGCACGCAAUUUGUCAUUUCCUCCUGCAAUUAACCGUAGUUUAAGAGUAAGUUUUCUCCCCACUGAAUUGUUCCAAAUCCCUGCACUGUGAAGUCACGAUAUAUUUAGAAUGGUGUUCUGUCGUAAAUCUUCGCAACUGAGGAUAAUGCGAAGUACUCUGCGACGUGAUCCAUUGAGCAAUGAUGAGUAACUUCAUUCUUGUACCAUCGACUUUUAUUCUGUAAGCGUAUUAAAACCGGUGAUAACGCUAUCAAGUCAUUUGAAGCCA